rnacentral:rRNA from 1 species
UACAGAGGUCUCAAGCGUUGUUCGGAUUUAUUGGGCGUAAAGGGUGCGUAGGUGGUACCGAAAGUUAGGUGUGAAAGUUCGAGGCUCAACCUCGAAAUUGCACCUAAUACUCCGGUGCUCGAGUCUCAUAGAGGAAUCUGGAAUUCCUGGUGUAGCGGUGAAAUGCGCAGAUAUCAGGAGGAACACCGGUGGCGAAGGCGGGUCUCUGGGCCGAUACUGACGCUGAGACGCGAAAGCAUGGGGAGCGAACAGG